rnacentral:lncRNA from 1 species
GCUUCCUAUGCACUGAGGAACCUCCAGCUGGCUGGUACUUGAGUAGAAGGCAGACUGCAGACCCUGUUGGAGCAGCCACCCCAGAGAGACUCCACAGCAAAGGAGAGCAGGACAGAGGCAUGGCAGAAGGAGGACACUGUGGGAAAAGGGGCCUGAUGGAACUGAAGGGGUGGAGGAGGUACCAGUGAUAACCUGUCAUGAUCAGUUUUGUCCCGCAAUCAUCUGAUCUCGUAUCCUCGUCACUCCUUAUUCUGAUUGUGCCCAUUGGGCAAAGCAGACCGCAUCAUUUUACCCCAUGGAAACUGUGGGCCAGAAACUUGCCUCUGAGACCACACAAUUUAUCAGCGGAAAAGGACAAAACCCCCACUCCCACGUGCAUUUUUUUUUUUUUUCUGGAAGGACUGAAACCAGCAUAGCCAUGGCUACAAGCAUGCAGCAAACAAAAGGAGACCAUAGAAAAUGAUUUCACAAAGCAAUGGCUUUCUGAGCAUAGGGAGCUUAGAGAUCAUCUGAGCCCAAACCACACUUCUUGGUGAUACACAGUCUGAACUUAAGUCUUCAACUAAAUUCAACAACCUUACUUUGUAAGCCAAAAUAGAGUUGAGCAUAGCCCUCACCUUCUGGUGUCUGCUUCUCUUUGUUUCAUUCAUAAGAGCAGAAGCUUAUUUUCCCAAUUUUUCUUUUGCUUUCAAGAAUCCUUCAUUCACUCAGCCAACAAAUGUUUUCUGAGUGUCUGUUGGGUAUUAGUACUCUGCAAUGUGCUAGAAAAAAGCUGGAUUGAUCUAGUUCCAUGAAUCAGGCAAGAGGAAAGCUCAUAAAGCGUGCAGACAAUUUCUAGAAUGGUACUGUGACGUUAUGGGAAAAAAUGUAGGCUUUGAAGUCAGAUACUAUUGAGUUUAAACUCCAACUCAAUUACUUACAGGUUUUG